UACAGAGGCCUCGAGCGUUAGGCGGAAUCACUGGGCUUAAAGCGUGUGUAGGCGGACUUCUAAGUACCUUGUGAAAUCCCACGGCUCACCCGUGGAACUGCUCGGUAUACUGGUCGUCUUGAGCCUUCUAGGGGCGAGUGGAACAAAUGGUGGAGCGGUGAAAUGCGUAGAGAUCAUGAGGAAGACCAGUGGCGAAGGCGGGUCUCUGGACAGUUCCUGACACUGAGACACGAAGGCCAGGGGAGCAAACGGG
rnacentral:rRNA from 1 species